CUUUAUGGCCAUACCACCCUGAAUGUGUCUGAUUUCAGAAGCUAAGCAGGGUCCAGCCUGGUUAGUACUUGGAUGCAUAUGAGCCCUUCAUCAGUUAUGCUUGUUGCUCUAUCUU
ensembl:rRNA 5S_rRNA 5S ribosomal RNA